rnacentral:rRNA from 1 species
UCUUCCCUCUUUCUUCGUGCCUAAUACAUGCAAGUCGAGCGAACAGACGAGGAGCUUGCUCCUCUGACGUUAGCGGCGGACGGGUGAGUAACACGUGGAUAACCUACCUAUAAGACUGGGAUAACUUCGGGAAACCGGAGCUAAUACCGGAUAACAUGUUGAACCGCAUGGUUCAACAGUGAAAGACGGUCUUGCUGUCACUUAUAGAUGGAUCCGCGCCGCAUUAGCUAGUUGGUAAGGUAACGGCUUACCAAGGCAACGAUGCGUAGCCGACCUGAGAGGGUGAUCGGCCACACUGGAACUGAGACACGGUCCAGACUCCUACGGGAGGCAGCAGUAGGGAAUCUUCCGCAAUGGGCGAAAGCCUGACGGAGCAACGCCGCGUGAGUGAAGAAGGUCUUCGGAUCGUAAAACUCUGUUAUUAGGGAAGAACAAAUGUGUAAGUAACUAUGCACGUCUUGACGGUACCUAAUCAGAAAGCCACGGCUAACUACGUG